GAAUAAUCGCGCUUGAUAUAAAUCAGGUGAGGAAAGUCCGUGCAUUCAAGGACAGGCAGCCGGAGAAACUCCGGACGGUGUGAACCGGUGGAUAGGACCACAGAAAUGAAUGCAUCUUCAGGUGUAAUCUGAACGAAAGUGAAAGGAUUGCACAGGCUGGAUAGAUGCAAAUACUGCCGAUGGACAGUAAUGUCACAGGCGAUGGUGCAACGGUGAGUUAAGAGCUUCACCAGCGAUAUUGAGAAAUAUCGGCUAGGCAACCCCCUGCCGAAUGCAAGAUUGAAUUGAAGGCUAUAAAGGCUGUCCGCCAACUUCAGAAAAAUCGCUAGAGAUUGGAAGUAAUUCCAAUACCAGACAGAUGAUUAUUUAGAAACAGAACACGGCUUACGAGUUACUUU
rnacentral:RNase_P_RNA from 1 species